rnacentral:rRNA from 1 species
GCUUACGGCCAUACCACCCUGAGCAAGCCCGAUCUCGUCCGAUCUCGGAAGCUAAGCAGAGUCGGGCCUGGUUAGUACUUGGAUGGGUGACCGCCUGGGAAUACCAGGUGCUGUAAGCUU